GAUGAACGUUGGCGGUGUGCCUAAUACAUGCAAGUCGAACGGAGAUUGUAGCAAUACGGUCUUAGUGGCGAACGGGGUGAGUAACGCGUUGGUGAUCUGCCUCGAAGUGUGGAAUAACGAUUCGAAAGAAUCGCUAAUACCGCAUAGUCUCUCUUUUUCCAGAAAUUUGAGAGUAAAGGAUUUAUUCGCUUUGAGAGGAGCCUGCGUCCCAUCAGCUAGUUGGUAAGGUAAUGGCCUACCAAGGCGAUGACGGGUAGGGGACCUGAGAGGGUGGCCCCCCACAAUGGAACUGAAACACGGUCCAUACACCUACGGGUGGCAGCAGUAGAGAAUAUUAGAAAUGGACGAAAGUCUGAUCUAGCAACACCGCGUGUGCGAAGAAGGCCUUCGGGUUGUAAAAGCACUUUUUGGAAGGAUUAGGAAGGAAUGUACUUCCAGAAUAAGUCUCGGCUAACUACGUG
rnacentral:rRNA from 1 species